rnacentral:siRNA from 1 species
UAAAAGCAGUAAAUAGCUUU